rnacentral:lncRNA from 1 species
UUUUUUUUUCUUUUGCUUUUUAGAGCCACACCUGCAGCAUACGAAAGUUCCCAGGCUAGGGUUCAAAUCAGAGCUGCAGCUGCCAGCCUACAGCACACCCAGAACUACACAGGAUCUGAGCUGUGUCUGUGACCUACACUGCAGCUCAGGACAAUGCCAGAGCCUUAACCCACGGAGCGAGGCCAGAGAUUAAACCUGCAUCUUCAUGGUUACUAGCCGGGUUCAUUUCCACUGAGCCACACGGGAACUCCUGCAUUUACUCUUAAAGACUGAUGGUAGGCUCAUGAGACGGAAAAACUACGCAGGGUGUAAGAAGAGCCAUCCAUCACAGCUGGGGAAACCCAAGUUCCUUGAUGUCCUGCAAGGCCUUCCCUUUCUGGAAACUGUGCCCUGACUCCCUCAGGCGCCUCAGUUCAUGCACCAUUUGCUUCUCCCUUCCUGUACCAUCUCCUACCCUCCACCACCCCCGCAUCUCUUUCUUCUCUGCCUCUGUUCACUUGGGCUCCAUUACUUGAAGGCAGAGACUCUGACUAGGUCCCAAAGCAAUACCUCUGCCAAGUCAGGCCUGACACUAAGUAGUGGAGAUGCAGGGACAGACCCCGCACAGUUCUGCCUUUAGCAGGUGGGCAGCGUGUUCUGGAACUCUAAGUGUCAAAACCACACCGGACUUCAAUGAUCUAGUACGAAAAAAAAAGAAGCUAAAGGAGUAAGCAAUAAUUUUUGAUUUUUCUUUUUAAAUCCCAUAAUAUUGGGCAGGCCUGCAAGCCCCAUAAUUGCCCAGUGUCAAGACCAAGGAGAAGCCCAGAGUCAGCGACAGAGACAUCAGUGGUUUAAUAGAGGGGGAUCUUAUACAUCCAAAGCAAAAGGGUCCUAGAGCGACACCCUACCAUGGAUGGCAGGUGGGACAGGGCAGCAGCCUUUGCUACUGAGAAGAGGUCACCAGUUACAGGGGAAUUGACGUCAGGUUGGCUCAUCGGUUACCAGGGAAACUCCUCACAGCCCUUUUGAUAAGCUAUCAUAGCAGAGAUGUUCUGAUUUAAAGAUUAGAACACUCACUAGCUGGGGCCAGGGGCAAGUACGUAGGCAUUUACUGAUCAGGCUCCAUGAUUAAGAGGGAAGGUCAGUCAGGUGAGUAGGAUGUAGGUGAGGCAGGCACUAGUCUAGCAGGAGAUGGCCAGAGAGCAGGCCAACAGUCAUCCUGGCCUGACCAUACAUAUACAGUUUGAAUAUAUUGUGUUAAAUAAAAUAUAUUAUUAAAAUUAAUUUUAGGGAGUUCCUGCUGCGGUGCAGCAGAAACGAACCCGACUAGUAGCCAUGAGGAUGCAAGUUUGAUCCCUGGCCUUGCUCAGUGGGUUAAGGAUCCAGUGUUGCUGUGAGCUGUGGUGGAGGUUGCAGACAUGGCUGGAUCUGGAGUUGCUGUGGCUGUGGUGUAGGCCAGCGGCUGUAGCUCCGAUUGGACCCCUAGCCUGGGAACCUCCAUAUGCUGCAGGUGUGCCCCCCCCCAAAAAAGCAAAAAAAUAAAAUUAAUUUCACUUGUUCCUUUUUACCUUUUUAAAUAUGGCUACUAGAAAAUGUACAAUUACACACAGGGCUCACAUUCUAUUUCUAUUGGACAGGGCUAAUUUAACGGAGAGAUUCCUAGACCUGCUGGUCAUCUGAACCAUCCUAGAAGCUUUUCCUAAAGAGAGAUCCCAGGUCUCCCUUCUCUGCUAAUCCUGAUUGAGUAGGUCCUUAUGGGGGUGUCCUGUACUUUUAUAAUGCCUUCCAGGUUAUUCAAUGGCUAUGAUCAUCCCAGUUUGAAACAACAAUGGGAUGUCUCAAAUCCCAUUGUCUCUCAUGAAAUCCCCUGGCCCAAAAUUAUCCUAGGCUCCCUUCUAUUGCAGGGAUGGCCAAUACUCAAUAUGUAUCAGAAUCACAUGGACAGAUUUAAAAAAUAAAAAUUAACUUUCCAUCUUCAUGAUUUAGAUUCAAUUGAUCUGGGCAUUUUUUUUUUAAGCUCCCAGAUGGGUCCUCAAAUGCAGCAAAUAAUGGAAACCAUUGGUCUACCCAGCACUUACCACAUACAGUGCAGUUUUCCAUGCACUUCUCUGUCUCCUGCCAUAGACUGUGAGCUCCCUGAAGGCAUCGUCUUUGUCACCAUAUCUCUUAGGCCUACAGUAGUGACCUCAGGAGUGGCUGAAUGAACCCUUUAUGCUUUGACACUUUGGCCAUGGCUUCUCUGUCCUGGCUGGGCUCCAGUUUCUACUCUGGCUUUGAUGCUGCCUAUUCUUUGGCUCCACGUCCUUUUUCUGAGCAGCUGGCAUUCCCAGCUUCCUGCCUCCCUCCAGCAGUAAGGAGUGGGCCACGCUGACUCCACUCCCCGAUGCCUCCACUAUCCUCACUACCACCUUUUAUACUAAAGGUGGAAGAAGAAGAAAGAGUGGAUGAAUAAGUUACCCUCUGUCACCUCCUCUGGCUUGAGCCCAAGUCCCAUUACUCAGCACACUAGGACAGAGAGCAGCCUGUCCAGUGCCCAGAGCACUGGGCCAGGGGGCAGAAGAUCUGUGUGGUCAGCCUAGUGCUACCACUAACUGCCUUAGGAGUGUAACACUUCCUUUCUUUUUUUUUUUUUUUUUAAUAUAUUUUUUUAUUUUCCCACUGUACAGCAAGUGGACAAAAAGCUCCAAAGAACACCAAGGAAUGGGGAUAGUGGUUUUAGCGAUUAUUCAGACUUGGGUCCCUGGGCCGAUGCCUUCAGAGCCUUCUCAGGACAGGUCAGAUCCUAGGUCACUACAUGUCUGGCUAAUGAGGACAGGCCGGCAGUCUUUCAGGUCUACAUUCAAGAGACAACAACAGCGUGGAAGGCUUUGAACAUCAUGAGUGUGUGCUAAUAUACAAAACUCUGGUUACUGAAGACGUGUAAACGAUCAAGCACACGGCUCUCAAAUCAGCAUCUUCUUUGUGCAGCUGCACAGCUGCGGUUCAGCGCCACUGCGCAGCUGGUGUGCAGAGUGUGUUUCCUCGAAGCCCUUCUCACCUGGCUCAGAGCUGCUCACCCUUUGAGGUCCAGCUCAAGAGCAUCCUCUGUCUCAACACAGUUCCCACCAUUGUGCUUCUGGGCUUAUUUCUGUCUGUUCUGUAUGAUAAUUGUUUAUCUCUCCGGGCUCUUUGUGAGCAUGGACUAUAUCCUGCAUGUUCCCACAGUUCCUUUAAUGACAUCACAAAUGCCUUGGGAACCCUUGAAAGCUUAGAGUCACCACACUGCUGCCUCUUCUACGUGCAUGCCACCCUGACUACGUAAAAGCCUGGAAUUCCUUCCUCUCCCAGGCUUCUCAGAAAACUCUCUUCUUCCCCAUCUCCACUGACCCUAUCCUUAUUUAUUUCAUCAUUAUCUCUUUCUAGGAACGAAUGAAUAAUCUUCAAACAUCUCCUGCACCAAUGCAUGAUUUUUCUCCACUUCAAAAGUCUAGGAUUUUUACAAAGUGGAGAAGUGGUACCUAGGAUUGAUCCCCAAGGUAAACACCCAGGGCUCCACCUCCCUCCAAAGUUAUGCUUCAUAUCCUUUUUUCUCAAACCAGGAGAACAGCUCUCCCCAAAUCAGUCAUGAUGGAAACAGUGUUCUUCCUUUUUUGGCUUGUUAAUUUAUCCUUCCUAAUUGAACAAGACUGGAGAAUACCUCGGAACCCCUUGACUUUGACCCCGAGUAGGAACACAGACAACUGAGCUGCCUCAAGACUUCUAAAACAGAAUACAUCCAUAGUUGAAAAGACUCCCACAUACCUGAUAUUUCCACACCCCGAAGCCCUUUUGGGCACAUUGACCUCCAUCACAAACGAUAGAUAUUAUGGUUCUCAUUUUACAAACACCACCACAGAGGCCAGAGCACUAGGGUGGCUUGUGUAGGAUCUUACAGAUGGUUAAUGGCAGAGAUCAGGAAAAAAAAAAAAAUCAUGAAUUCCUGAGUUUAGGUAAGGCACACAUCUGAGAAAGCCUUUACUCCAUUACUCUGGAUGCGUGCCGAUUUUAAACUUUUAAGUCAUCACAUAUCUAUAUAUUUUCAACCUCUGUCUAUAGGCAGAAUGUGUUCGAGAGAUUUAUCGGACAGGCAAUCUAGAAAAGAUGACUGUUUUCAGAAGCUACUGCUCCCCAGUCCUCCGCAGGCAGAAAACCUUAAUUUGUCUUCCCAAAUUCACUCCACCUUCGAGAAUAGCUUUGUGGAUGGAAAAGCAAUAAAGACCAGACUCAGUCCAGCUGCAAAUGAUCAGCCUCUUCUCCCCAUCCUGGUAAUUUACAAGCGUCCCCCUAGGUCGGGCAGUUACUGACAGUGCCUAGUGAGCUUGGCUGAAUAACCUGGCCAGCUGGGGUGGGGGUGGGGGUGAAUGCUCUCCUACCCCAAUCCCCAUUUCUCAUUUAACUCUACUCAUUAGAGGAGGCUGUGGCACAAGCCAGGUUGACAUGUCAAUGAGUCACCAAGGAAAUGCAGAAAUUGACAGCUGAGGAAUCCCAGCCCCCAGCCUUCUCCACGACAGCAACCCUCAGAAAACAGGUUUCUCAACCUCCUCGCCAGGUCACUUAAAUGAGUAGUGACAUUUGAGUCCCUCAGAGUAAUUAAUUUCCUCUGUCUCCAAUAGCUCUUCAUACUUUUAAUGAAUUUUUACAAGUCUCAGAUCCUCCAGCCUUCCAGCUCCCUCUCCGGUCCCGUUGCUCCCCAAGGUCCUGUAACGAAUAGCUCCCACUCAUAUUUGCCUUGCAAACUCACAUAAACUGGAAAUGAUAAAUAUAUUAUCUAGGCUUUUUAACGGACCAUUGUUUAAUUUUCUAUGCUUGUCUGGCUGGGGAAGAGAUGAAUAUUACCUUGUGGAGAAUAAGAUUUCUAUUCCAUUUAAGGGGGGUUGGGGGUAAUCUAUGGCAGGAACACAGCACUCUGUUCAUCCUAAUAGGCAGCGCUGCUAAUUAAAAGUGUUAGGAAGGGACAUCCAUCCACCAGUCUGUGAUUCAUUCAACAUUAUCCCUGGUAAACAAGAAAUAGAUAUUGGAAUGAAUGCUUCUAAUUUGUCAAAAGAAUAGGCAUUUUCAAUUGCGCCUUCCCGGCUCCCCGCAUGAAGUACAUAAUUCAGUGUUGCCAUCAUUUAAAAGUUUAGGACCUCAAAAUAAUACCACCUGUCCCAUAAGCUCAUAAAUCUCCAAGCCUGUUUCCUAGGUAGAAACAUUUAUCUUACGUAUGCUUUGACUUUAGUUUCCACCAUCGGGAACGGUGCCGUCUGUUGGUAAAUAUAUUGAAAUGGGACAUUUGAGAAGACAGCGACAGAGCGGUAUUUAAAGUCGAACCCGUCUGAGACAACUUAUUAGGAGAGGCUAAAAUCUGGACAGGAAAACUUAAGGCUCUUCAUAACAUUUGCUAGAUACUUAAAGAAAAGCAGAAAGAGAAAUAUUCUUUCUCUAACCACGAACACAAAGUAGACCAGAGAAAAAUCAUCCUGAGCAUCAAUUAAUUCCCUGAAGGCUCCAUAAACCCUCUAGCGAGUUUUCAGGAGGAACAUGAAAGCCAUUGUUUCGAGAGGACCCUGAGACAUUUGCAAGCAUUUUCCAGAAAGGAAGGUUUUCCUCACACCAGCAAGUCAACGGGCCUCAAAUAGUUACCUUUGUGUUGUGCAAGAGUUCCUCAGUCAUGAAGACAUGGAGUCAGGGCUCCCCACCAUGUCCUGCUGAAUG